UAACAGCUGUCUAUUUUUUCUGAACUAGGGAAAAGCGGCAAUCCAGUCACUGGUGAGUCUUGCAGAAGGGUACAGCGCUCACUUCCAUCCUGUUGCUCAGCUUAAAAAACAGGUGCUGAGCUGUGAGAAGCGCAUCAGGGCCUGGCCUUGUCUGCCUCUGCCCGAAGAGGCUGAGAGGGGAGCAGCCAGAUUAGAAGGUGAUUCUGAAACAAAAGCCUGCAGUGCCUUAAUUAUAAAAAUCAUGUGUGAGCUGUGCCGCCAUGUGCCUGAGAGUCAUUGUGUUUUUGAGGACUUGGAUGAUAUUCCUCCUGAGAGCCUGGUGGUGGCAUUAAAAUCACGCCCUGCUGUCCCCAAGAGGAACAUCAGAUAAGCUUCGAUUGUCUGCACUUGUUGGGCUGUCUGCUGGCAGUUAAAGUACUUUGCUCACAAGUAAGCGUGCAUUCCUGUAAUCUGGCUUGUGUAACAGCUAUACUGGCAGAGUGGAAAACUACGUGAGCUGACCUCUGCAGAAGCUUCCUGCCCGGGCGGUCCAGGCGUAACAUGAACGGUGAAGAGCAGGCGCUGGCCUGCCCGUCACAAGGCUUGU